rnacentral:misc_RNA from 1 species
UCUCUCUCUCUCUCUCUCUGUGCUAGUGUGUGUGUUUCUCUGUGUUUCUCACAGAGACACUACCCUCUCACAACAAACGAGCACGGCCACAAUAGUGAUCAGUAUCACCCAUUUUAUAGGCAGCUGAAUUAUAUGAAAAAACUUGGGGAUAUCUGUAAGUCUUCGAUCCAUUAAUGUGGGAUAGAUGCAUAGACGUAUGUAU